rnacentral:rRNA from 1 species
GUGGAUUAGAUACCCUGGUAGUCCUAGCAGUAAACGGUGUGCGCUUGGUGUGAGGGGAUUCGACCCCCCUUGUGCCGGAGCUAACGCGUUAAGCGCACCGCCUGGGAAGUACGGCCGCAAGGCUAAAACUCAAAGAAAUUGACGGGGACCCGCACAAGCGGUGGAGUAUGUGGCUUAAUUCGAUGCAACGCGAAGAACCUUACCAAGGCUUGACAUGGAUUUCUAAGCACGUGAAAGCGUGUGACCCUUCGGGGGACUUCCACAGGUGCUGCACGGCCGUCGUCAGCU